GGCCCGUUCGUCUAGCGGCCCAGGACACAUCCCUCUCAAGGAUGAGAUCGCGGGUUCGAAUCCCGCACGGGCUACCA
rnacentral:tRNA from 1 species